rnacentral:lncRNA from 1 species
AUGAUAUCCAACUUCUGGCUGAUAUCCAAGUGUAUUACCAGAAUUACAUGUUCAGAUGGGCCUUCCUCCGUGCUCAUGAUGAAGGAUCAAAAUAUGUGGCUUCCUUGUCUCAAAGGCAAACCCUGGAGAUACCAAUAUAGGGAUCUUAUAGUUCCCUGUAUAGUGGAGGCCUGAUGUGGAGUUGAAGCUGGUAUGAAGAAAGUAGGUCUGCUGAGGAAGUCUGGAGAUUUGGUCUCAAGCUAGGCCUAGCUUCCCUGAAACAUUCAUGCAGCUGUGUUAUUUCUCUGUUGUUGUUAUAAACAGGUUUUUAAUGUCCCUGGUAAUCACUGAACUUCUUGAAUUUUGGCCAACAUACCAAACUCAAAGCCCUCCAAAUGGCUGCUUCUGCCAAGCUUUACACAUUAUGGCAUUUUAGGUAAUGCUACGUUUCAGCAGCUUAGGGUGAGUUAUUGGGUGAGUUCAGUGUCCAAGAGGAAAAAACAAAACACACAAUUCCAUUCAAGUCCAUGAAAAAUUUUAUUCUUGGAAGGUGUUGGAUACUGGCAACAUAAAAUAUAUGAAACUACAGUAAAAAUCUAUUUAAAAUGAAUACCAUAACCUGAUUUUCUUGUUCUUUUGCUUAUAAAUAAUGCAAUGGAUUUAGUAGGUAUAUUUAUUUAGAUAGCAAAGUACAGACAAGUAUGACA